rnacentral:tRNA from 1 species
GCCGAAGUGGCGGAAUGGCAGACGCGGUGGACUCAAAAUCCACUAUCCGCAAGGGUGUGAGGGUUCAAGUCCCUCCUUCGGCACCA